GAACCAAAUAAACGCGAGAAUGACCAAUUACUGAAUUCUAUUCAAUAUUUAUUGAAUUUAAAGAGUAUUUUGGUAAAUUCUAAACAAAACGUCAAUGUUCACUUUGAUGUCUUUUUUUUUAGGGAGAAAAUAAAUUAAAAUCACAUAUUAACCAACCAAGUCAAUGGAUGCCCUCACUUCUCAGUCGCCAACAUGCAACAAUGGUUCAGAGACUUUACAGAUCUCUCUUCUCAUUGUUGUUGUUGUAGGUGGUGUGUGGGAUGGAUAUUGUGGAUGAAUGACACUGCGGGAAUAAUAUAUAUGCUGCUACUGGACAAUGGAUAGAAGAGUAAUCAUGUAAUGUUUUCUCUCACUUGAUCGUCUCAGUAAAAAAAGGAAGGAAGAAGAAGACGCAACGCAUCUUCAUGUCGAGGAGAGAUGGUCGUGUACAGAAGAAUGACGGGAAAGAGAGAGAGAGAGAGAGUGAAGUUGUUAGUGAAUGAGUUUCAGUGGCAAGUCUAAGCGGAUGAUGCCCUACUAACGUCGGAUUCGUGUAGCUUUGUUACAUAUUUUAUCCAUGAUUUGGUUCAGUUCUUGGUCUCUCUCUCUCUCUCUAUCCUGGUCUCGUCGUCUUCAUCCAUGGGUCGUCGUGUGGUUUACUUAGUGAGGAAGAAGGAAAAGCAGUGGGAGAGAUGAUUGGUAGUGGUAGUGGUGGCGGCGCAGAUUGGAGUUCAGAGAAAGCAGAGGGAGACAUGGGAACGGAAGUGAAAGCAAGCUGGCCAGGCAGGAGUAGUGAGUGAGUGAGUGAGUGAGUGAGUAGUAGUCGGAGGAAAGAGAACAAGUUUCUCUCAAUGAAUGAACCCCCUCCGCCGUCGGUCGGUGUGAGGAUAGGAUGGGAUCGGAGGAGGGAUGAGGGAGGAGGAGGUGGAGGUGGAGGAAAGAUCGAUAAGAUGAUACAACUCACAUACCACCCCACUUACGGAGGAGUCAUAUUACUGCUGUUAACUACUACCAGUUAUAUCAGCAGCAGCAGUAUCGCAUCAUCGUGAUGCCAUGUACACUCAAAUGGUUCCUACGACGACUCUACUAGAAGAAGAAGCAGAUGGGAACAUCCGGUGAAAAUUCAGAUCCGAAAAAGGAUGAGAAGAGAGGGACGCUUCGUUCACUUUCCGUUCAUUUGUGUGUACAUUCUCCUAAAACAUGAUAGUAUUGAUCUCCUAAUUCUAGGGAUGGAUAGAUGGAUGGAUGAUGAUGAUGCGAUGAUGCUGAUGGGAUGAUUGUGUGCAACAUCAUCCGAUCCUCUUGUUAUUUUACAACAACAGCACAUCACCCGGCUCCAUAGAGGAUAGAUGGACGAGAGAAGAAUAUGAGAGUCAAUGAAAAUGAGAAGAAAUAUGAUUGGAAAAUUUACAUAACAAAUGCAUUUCAAUGUGGGUUUGCAAUUUGGGAAUAAUCCUCGGCCUCCUCUUUUGUCUGGGUUUAUAAUGCUACGUAAAUUCGCUUAGGGAGUUAGGGAGAGGGAAUUGGAUCAUGGACAAAGAAAGCGUCAACAUGAUUCCACAUUUCGCAACCUUUGUUCGAUCAGAGAUAGAGAGAUCAAGAAAUGGAAGUCGAGAUUACGGCUGCUCGUGUCAGAGCAGCAACAGAACUAGGGUGUAGGGCUAUCACGUACAACUGUGUAGGGCACAGAGUGGAUAUUCUGCAGAUCUGUAUAGAAUAUAUGAACAAUAAGAGGCAGGGCAGACUAGAGGGUUGACAGAGACAGAGUGAAAGCUGGGAUUGAUGAUGAGACUGUGUGGGUUGGUGUUGUUUGCAAUAGUCGAUAGUUAUUUGCAAUUUUCCUGAGAGACUAGGCACAUUUUGCAAACUUCACGUGGACUCUAUUCAAGACACGAGCUCAAGUAUGACUAAUCUUAGAUUCUUGAGAAGAAGGGGUUGGAGUUCAUAAUUCUUCAAGGUCAUAUUCUGCUUGAAUAUGUAAGAAGACGAGUAGAAGAACUCAAGUAGAAUGGCAACGGGUACAAAAGUCGAAAUAUUAUUUCUCCAUUUCUCUCUACCUACUACCUACCUACCUUCCUUCCCAAACCUUCAAGAAAUGGCAAAAUUGAGACAAUUAACCUAACUUUCCUUUAACUUUUCUUAUACCAACGCAUCUCAUGGUGUUUAAUUUAAUACUGAAACUGAACUCGAAAUUUCAUUCGAAAAAUGUGUAGCAAAACUAGUUAGUUUUGGCUUUAUUAAAUAUCGUCAAAAUAUGUUUUGUUGUAUUAAAAUCGUGUUUGGCGUAUUAACGUCAAAGGUUAAAACGUAACUCUAGGUUUCUCGGAAUCACAUGGCAAGAUCCAUAUACUUGUGGUGUAAACAUAAUAAUAAUA